GCAAGUUUCAAUUUUAAUCUGGUUCAUCAGCAACUCCAUCCCUGCAGUAGCAGCAGAUCUAAUGUUGGGCCUGAUUCCAGCACUUCUCCUUGUCAAUUUAGAGAGCCUGCAGUACCUUCAAGGACAUUGCCCAGCACUCUUAGAAGACAAUUUUAGCUGCAUUUGCUCGAGCAUGGUGAAGUGAAGCCCCCUGUGCAGUCUACCAUAAUUUGUAUAAUUAAAUUGGGAGACAGGCUGGCAGCCAAAUCUCCCCUGUGGAGGAUCGCUGUACUCUUGCCUCUUUUGAGUGAAAUCACGAGUAUAGAAGACAUGCUGUUUGUUGAAGCAGUGGGAUUUGAUGUGCGACUUCUCAGAAAUAGCAUUAGCCAUUCUUUCUGCCCAUUGACCAUGCCGGACAGAUCCAUUUGUUAGGAUAGAUUUUUCAGCUUUACACUUGUACACCACGCUUAACUGACAAAAGAUUCCUU
rnacentral:misc_RNA from 1 species